rnacentral:tRNA from 2 species
GCAGGGGUAUCGAAGCCCGGCCAACCGAGAAGGACUCAAGAUCCUUUCCCUUAGGGGUUCGUGGGUUCGAAUCCCACCUCCUGCA